rnacentral:rRNA from 1 species
AAUUAUUAAAUUAUUAAUUAAUUUAUUUAAAUAAAAACUUAUUUUAAUAAAAAUAUUUUUAAUUAUGUUAUUAUUUUAGUAUUAUUUAAAGAAAAAAUUUUUUUAAUUAUAGUUUAUUUUGUAUAUAGAUAGAAUUUUGAAAUAUUUUGAAAUUAAAAAAUUUUUUAUAAAGUAAACUUUUUUUGUUGUACCUUGUGUAUCAGGGUUGAUUAAAAAAAAUAUAUUUAUUUAAUAUUUUUCUCGAAUUUAAAAGAUCUAUUUAAUAAAUUAUUUUUAAUGUUUAAUAAUUAUUUUAAAUUUUUAAAUAGAAAUGAAAUGUUUUUCGUUUUUAAAGUUAUCUAGUUUUUUAAUAAAUAAAUUUAAUUUAAAUAUCAUUUAUUAAUUAUUUUAAUUAAAAAAAAUAAUUAUUUUUAAUAUUAAAGUUUUAAGGGAUUAGCUUUAAUUCUUAAAUUUAUAAAAAAUUUUAUAUUAUAGUGUUUAUUUUUAGGCUUAGAAUUAGCUUUAAUUUGAAAAUUGUAAUAAUUUUAUAAUAUAUAUAUAUAUAUACACAUAUAUAUAUAUAUAUAUAUAUAUAGAUUUUAAUUUUUUUUAAUUUUAUAUUAAAAUAAAUUAAUUAAUAAAUUUUUAAUUUAAAUAAUGAUUAAAUUAGUAAAUAUUUUUUAAAAUAUAAUUAUUUAUUAAAAGUAAUUAUUGGUAGUUAAUUUUAAGGAACUAGGCAAAAAUUUAGCUCGCCUGUUUAACAAAAACAUGUCUUUUUGAAUAUUAUAAAAAGUCUAAUCUGCUCAAUGAAUUAUUGUUUAAAUAGCCGCAGUAUUUUAACUGUGCAAAGGUAGCAUAAUAAUUUGUCCUUUAAUUUAGGACUAGAAUGAAAGAUUUGACGAGGUUAAAUCUGUCUUAUGAUUAAUAAUUAUUGAAUUUAAUUUUUAAGUAAAAAAGCUUAAAUUUUAUUAAAGGACGAGAAGACCCUAUAGAGUUUUAUAAAUUUAAAUUAUUUUUAUAAAAAUAUUUUUAUAAAAAUAUUUUUAUUUAUUUUAUUGGGGUGAUAAUUAAAUUAAAUUAACUUUAAAUUAAAAUUUACAUUUAUUAAUGAAUUUAUGAUCCUAAUUUUUAGAUUAUUAGAAUAAAUUACCUUAGGGAUAACAGCGUUAUUUUUUUUAAAGUUCUUAUUAACAUUAAAAAUUGCGACCUCGAUGUUGGAUUAAAAUUUAUUUUAGGUGAAGAAGCUUGAAAAUUAGGUCUGUUCGACCUUUAAAAUUUUACAUGAUCUGAGUUCAAACCGGUUUAAGCCAGGUUGGUUUCUAUCCUUAAUUUUAUUAAAAAUUUUUAGUACGAGAGGACCAUAAUUUUAAAUUAUUAUAAAUUUUAUUUAAAUGAGUAUAAAAAAUUAUUUAAUAA